UCCGGGAAACCGGGGCUAAUACCGGAUAAUUCUUUCCCUCACAUGAGGGAAAGCUGAAAGAUGGUUUCGGCUAUCACUUACAGAUGGGCCCGCGGCGCAUUAGCUAGUUGGUGAGGUAACGGCUCACCAAGGCAACGAUGCGUAGCCGACCUGAGAGGGUGAUCGGCCACACUGGGACUGAGACACGGCCCAGACUCCUACGGGAGGCAGCAGUAGGGAAUCUUCCGCAAUGGACGAAAGUCUGACGGAGCAACGCCGCGUGAGUGAUGAAGGUUUUCGGAUCGUAAAACUCUGUUGUUAGGGAAGAACAAGUACCGGAGUAACUGCCGGUACCUUGACGGUACCUAACCAGAAAGCCACGGCUAACUACGUGCCAGCAGCCGCGGUAAUACGUAGGUGGCAAGCGUUGUCCGGAAUUAUUGGGCGUAAAGCGCGCGCAGGCGGUUCCUUAAGUCUGAUGUGAAAGCCCCCGGCUCAACCGGGGAGGGUCAUUGGAAACUGGGGAACUUGAGUGCAGAAGAGAAGAGUGGAAUUCCACGUGUAGCGGUGAAAUGCGUAGAGAUGUGGAGGAACACCAGUGGCGAAGGCGACUCUUUGGUCUGUAACUGACGCUGAGGCGCGAAAGCGUGGGGGAGCAAACAGGAUUAGAUACCCUGGUAGUCCACGCCGUAAACGAUGAGUGCUAAGUGUUAGAGGGUUUCCGCCCUUUAGUGCUGCAGCCAACGCAUUAAGCACUCCGCCUGGGGG
rnacentral:rRNA from 2 species